UUCUAUCAAUGAGCAAAGGAAGUGGUUUCUUGAGAUAGAAUCUGCUCCUGGUGAAAAUAAUGUGAG
rnacentral:pre_miRNA from 1 species